AGCAGGGUUAGGAGGACAGUACUGUGGUCCCUUUUUAUUGACAUAUUCACCCUUGCAACCCUGUGUAGAGAGAGAAAGGGGGGAGGGGAGGGGAGGCAGGAAGUCUGUGUCAAUAGCUGUGAGGAAAGACCAAAACUCACCAUUAAAUACUCCAUCUAUGACACAGUACAGCAGAGUCGGGAAGGAGAGGGUGCAUUUACAAAAAUGGAGAGGGGGAGUUACGAGGGUUCCCCUCCCUAAAACAUGCAUGGCUCGCGCUUUCUUUUGUGAUCUUUAGAGGUGUGAAAGCUUCUGCUUCUUUCCCUUUAAAUUUGAGCUCUUACUUUUCCAAAUUUCCCAACAAGCUCCUAACCUCACUCCCCCCAUUUGGCUCAUCCUUCAAUUUGUUUGAUAUGUUGGUUUGAGAGGUUGAAGCUGCCAGCAUGAUCUGGUCAUCUUGCAGCUUCAAUCACUCAUUCACCAACAGCACAAGAGAUUCUGAAACAUGCUUUCUGGGGUCUAAUUUGCUCUCACAAGAGCUCAAUUCAUACAGGUAAUUAAGUAUUUGGUUCCUCAAAGUUUCAUCUUCCCUUUUCUUUUUUUGUUUAUCUCUGGAUUAAUUAUCAUUGAAAUUGCAAUUUCUAGUUGGUUAUAAUGUGAUUUUUAUCUCAUUAAUCAACACCUCUAUCUUUCUUUAUUGCAUACACAAGAAUUAUGCAUAUGCAAACAUACGCAUGUUGACACUCACAAAUCUGCCUUGUCCAAUCAGAAUAUUGAUGGAUUUUUAACCUACUCAGAUCCAGCUAUGUAUCUUACAACAACUAAAAAAUGUCAAGAAAGACAAUAUAUUAUCCAUCUCUCUCCUCUCCUCAUGGCUGUAUGCUUCCAUGUUUGUCUUUAUUAGGCUGCAGGUAUAUAUCAAGAAUCAAUAGGUAAAUUAAAUUCACAAGACACAAGAAAAGCAUGCUGAUUAGAAAAUUUAUAUGUUGUAUUUAAAUUGUGUAGAUAUACGGUGGUAAAUCCAAUGCUCUUGUAAUGCCAUAUACAAUUGGUUUUUGCGAUCUGUUUUCCUUGUCCUUCAAUAAAUAAUUUUUAGCCUCAUUUAACUUUUUUUAGUUUUUACUGAUUUUGGGAGUCAAACUGGAUAGGAGACAAAGGGUGGUACAAAUUAAUUUGGUUUCAUCCUUAAUUCCACAAGGUUAGUGGUCCAGUUUGGUGUUGCAUGAUCCACAGUUCUGAGUAGACAUUGACACUCUUCCACAGGAUGUUCCUUUCAUCUAUUGGAUAAUGUUUAGCAUUCUGUGGCUUCCCAAUUGUAGAUUGUUAGUUCACAUGUAUAGUAUUAGUACUCCAACACUUCCGUAUGAGGUUUCAGUUUAGGAAUUUUGAUAGAGUGAUGCUUCAUAAAAGCCUUUAGAUGAUUCAAUCCCUCUAUCAGACAUUCAAGCAUAACAUCAGAAAUUCUUUUCGUUUUGCCUCUGUGUUUAAAAAUGAGGCUGUUGCUUUACUUUCCAUUCCUCAUUCUGUAUCUUAAGGGAAAAAGAUUUGGUAUGACAAUUGUUUCUAAAAUAUCCGAUCCAAAACAAGGCUCAUUGGCAUGACAUUGCAUAGUUCAUUCCCAUGCACACAUUUUGAAGUCUUAUGGUGACAAACUUGACAUUUCUUGCUGCAAAUUAUAGGAAUCUCUCCGUAACAUUUUCGUCACAUUACAAAAAGUCUAUCUAAUUUCUGGCCAAGUCAUAGAUAAGUUACAUUAUGAAAAUGGAAAAUAUUGCACUAACAUAAAGAGUAGCAUGCAUUUUGUCAGUAGGUGUUGAUUAAGAAUACAAGGGAUAUGAAUAUAGGCCCUAUAUAGGGCAGGUCUUAAUUAUAUUAAAGGGAUUCUAAUGUUUUUACAUCAACUGUUCUGACAAGCAAGCUAAUUUCUGAUAUCAAGUUUCGGUAACAAUGGACAAGUGUAUGACUUGUUCCUUCAAGUUGUUGCAAAGAUAGGGAAACCACUUCAUAUUCAUAUCUGCAAAAAGAUCGAUGCUUCCAGUUGUAAUUUCUUGGCUUUAUUCUUCAUAUAUUAAUUGAAAAGAUUUGAUAUUACCCUGAUCAUAUAGCUGCCUAAUUAAACGGUGGUGAUAAUCAAGUUGUCAAAUAGGGAAUAUGGAGUAGUGUUUGUGGUUGGAUUUUUUCUUGAAAAUGCAACUUCGAUGCGAUUUUAGUGACAACAUGGAUUAGAUUGUGACCAAUGUAUUUCUCCUUCAUUUCUUUUUCCCGUCUUUAUCAUGACUAUCAGCAUCUGAAGAUUGGAUACACUGUUUUAUUUUCCACCUUAUAGACAAUAAUUGUUGUCCACAGAUACAACAUAUUCUAGUUCUAAGUCAUACAAUAUAUCAUAUCAUACCAGAAUAAAAAUUGGAUAUUGCUAUUUUUAAUAUCAAUUAAAUUGUAGUUUGUGGUAGAGCUUUCUUUCCAGUGCACUUGAGAAUCAAGCAAGUUGGAAAAUGCUGUUCUUUUUCUUUAUGUUCCUGUGUUCUACUUUAAUCAAUUACUAUAGUUAGGGACACAUAAUUAAGUUUUGAGAUGAAGGAGCAGAUGCUGACUUGUUUGCCCUAAUAAAAACUUAGAGAAAUCUCAUCUUAAUUUUGGAGGAUUUAAAUGUGUACAUCAUCUAUAUGUAAAUCAUUAGCCUUUCUCGUUAAUCUUAAUCUUGAAAUAAAUUGAUAAUUAAUCCCAUGAGAGGAACACAAGAAAUUAUUUAUCUUAGGAUCCAUUUUUGUUUCAAUUGAGCUGCAUGUUAGUAGGGAUUGUCACUUGAUUUCCAGAACCUAUGAAUUACUACAAAACUUGAUUAAUAUGUGUGAAGUUCUUUACUAGAUUAGUAUAAUUGUGUGCCAGAGAUGAAUCGAAGAUCUGUAUGGAAGAGCUAGGAGGUAAGUUUAUCAUUUUCUAUAUGAUGAUUGUGUGUUACAUUUAGAACUUUUCAAUCUGGAUACCCUAUGUGAUGAAUUGGAUAUUAUUUUUAUUUAUUAAUUAUCUAUCCGUUUAUCUAAUAAGAAUAUAUUGUGUUGAUUCUGGAGUUUAAUUACAGAAAACAUAGAUGUUGACUGGAAACCAUAUGCAAUAAACGAGAUGGUCUUGAAAGAUGUGAAACUUGUGUCCUAGACACCAUAGUUGUGAGCUGUGAGACCGAUUUGAAACCUAACCCCAUAAUUGGUGCUGCUGUUAGCUACAACUGGACAUUGAUUAGGUUUGAAUGCCAGCAAGAACAGUUGAUCUUGUGAUAUGAAGGUCCACGAGCCAUAUAUAGCUAGGAGAAAUAAGAAAAAAAUAAUUAGAUUAGUGUUGCAUAUUUAUGUGAGAUCAUACCUUAUAUGAUUUGAUGAGGUGUACGUUGCAGGCCACUAAACACCAAUAAUUGAUGCUUAAGUAUUGUUUAAACCAUCACGAUCGAGAUUAAUAUACAGUAAGUUCAUUAAUUAUUUGAAAAUUCUUAACAAAUUACACUUUCAUGUAUUUUUUUUUUUUGGAAUGUUAAACAUUUUAUAGGUGAAUUUUUAUGCCAAUCAUGAAGAUAAUCAUGCAUGAUGAUAACUAUCCUAUUUAAGCAUUGGAUAUUGUUUAUACAAUUAACAGUAAAAAUAAAUUAAAAUGCACCCUAAGUAGGCAUGCAAAUAGAACAAUUUAAGGUGAAGCAGGGAAUUUAUCGAAAGCUGCAAGUAAUUCAAGUCUCCCACUAAAGCUGGAAAAAAGAAGAGAGCUGUGUUUGUAAGAUCCCUUGGAGCUUCUUUGCUACGCCUGCAAAAAGAAGCUCCUGCUACAAAUCUGUCAAAAAGGCACCCGUGUUUCUGCACAGAAAAAUUGAUCUGCCAUUUUUGAAUCUGCCACUUGAAGAAACAAAGACACAGAUCUGCUACGUACUGCAAACCCCAGUUUCACUGCCAUUGUACCGUUUUAGCAUUCUGUGGGGGUGACACAUGUAGGACAGCAUAUGAAAUAUGUAAGAAAGAUCUGGAAAAAAAAAAUCCAAAAUUACUUUAAAAAAAAUUAAAAAAGUACUUACACAA